UACGAAGGGGGCUAGCGUUGCUCGGAAUUACUGGGCGUAAAGGGCGCGUAGGCGGAUAUUUAAGUUGGGGGUGAAAUCCCGGGGCUCAACCUCGGAAUUGCCUUCAAAACUGGAUAUCUUGAGUUCGGGAGAGGUGAGUGGAACUCCGAGUGUAGAGGUGAAAUUCGUAGAUAUUCGGAAGAACACCAGUGGCGAAGGCAGCUCUCUGGGACGGUACUGACGCUGAGACGCGAAAGCGUGGGGAGCGAACAGG
rnacentral:rRNA from 1 species